rnacentral:rRNA from 1 species
CCUACGGGCGGCAGCAGUGGGGAAUAUUGGACAAUGGGCGAAAGCCUGAUCCAGCCAUGCCGCGUGUGUGAAGAAGGCCUUCGGGUUGUAAAGCACUUUCAGUGGGGAAGAAAGCCUUGGGGCUAAUACCCUCGAGGAAGGACAUCACCCACAGAAGAAGCACCGGCUAACUCCGUGCCAGCAGCCGCGGUAAUACGGAGGGUGCGAGCGUUAAUCGGAAUUACUGGGCGUAAAGCGCACGUAGGCGGUCUGAUAAGCCGGUUGUGAAAGCCCCGGGCUCAACCUGGGAACGGCAUCCGGAACUGUCAGGCUAGAGUGCAGGAGAGGAAGGUAGAAUUCCCGGUGUAGCGGUGAAAUGCGUAGAGAUCGGGAGGAAUACCAGUGGCGAAGGCGGCCUUCUGGACUGACACUGACGCUGAGGUGCGAAAGCGUGGGUAGCAAACAGGAUUAGAUACCCGAGUAGUC